rnacentral:tRNA from 1 species
GCCAGGGUAGCUCAGUUGGUUAGAGCACAGCAUUCAUAACGCUGAGGUUCGCGGGUUCGAUCCCCGCCCCUGGUA